GGGAAGAAGAAAAGGGGGGAACGCAAAGGGCACGCGCGGGGAGGCCGGAGAGGAGGCCGGGGGGAGGGGCAGGGGAAAGAAAAAGCGGGGGGGGGGAGGCCGGGCGUGGUGACGCACCGGAUUUGGGUCGUCUUGCCUUCGGUUAAGUGACCUAAAAUUUUGCAUGAUUUUUUUCGAACGUAUUUAAAUGAUUUUACGUACGUUUGCGAUAUCGAAUACUAGGUGUGGUCAUCCUCAUGAGGCGCGCCUAUAAUUGUUCAUCAAGAUGACCUCAAAUCAGGUAGGAGUACCCGCUGAA
rnacentral:misc_RNA from 1 species